ACCAUCUGGUAUACACAUACACACAUAUGAUACUUGAAGUUUGCCAACCUCCUUGCGGCAACGACCGACAGUAUAGCUUGAAAUGUUGUCAUCAAUGUAUCUUUUAGUGCAAUGUCGAAAAUUUUCUUCGACCAAAAGAGUACAUAAAUAUAAAGUGCUGAUCGAUGAAAUAAAUGAUGUAUCUUUCGCGUGAUUUGUGCAGUUUUGCUGCUGUACAAAUCAACAAAUUUGAUUGUUUUUCGAUUUUCGUGCCAUUAAUUUCGGGUUAAGGUUAAAAUGUUUGGUGGAGCAACGCUAUCUUGGUUCAAGAUAUUAUAGCUAACGCUAAUGGAUGUCGCAGUUUCCGGUUUAGUAGGUGCAAUGGCUGUACCUACUUGUUCGAUAUUAUGCAUUACCGGCUCCAAACUCAUUCGCAGCAGAUCAUGAUGGUUUUAAUAUGAGCUGAUGAGUUGUGGUACUAUUCAAUUUUAACGAAUUCUUCAAACUAUAUUCGAAAAAAAAUCUCAAUAAUGCGAAGAAUUUAUCCGCAUAAUUUUAUGUUGUGAAUUUUUCCACGUCAAGAUACCUAUUGGAAUAGAGGCAUAAAUUCGUAUUCUGCAGGAAGAUUAAAUGCGAAUUAAAGCCCAGCUUUUAUCUGCCGCUCGGGAAAGUACGUCGUUCAUGUAUCGCGUCACCGGCAUAACGUUUCCUGAAAUUUGUAACUUUUUUUCAAAAAACAUCACAUUAUCUUAAUUUUCCUUGCAGUCUCAUACAGUACUAGUACAUAUAAUGGUACGGAUAGUUGUAAACGUAUCACGCAAUUUCAUUUACCUACAACCAGUAUGUAUUUUUUCUACUCUAUUGAAACUUUUUUCGCCUAGACUUGAUGUAGGUACCUACCUAUAGAUUUUAAACUACUUUCUAUUGAAUAAUUCAACGUCAUAGUAUUGAAAAAGUUUCGUUCUUAGAAAUGAAAUUGUUUGCAAUAACCUGUCGAAAUAUGAUCAUUGCAAACACUUCGCCGGAGUAAUUGAGAAAUAAUCAUGAGCUAGGUACUAUUUUCAGAAAUUUUUCAAAAAAUCGAUUGUACAAAUGUACAUAAUAAUAAGACGUAUCUUCUUAAAAUUAAUUUUGAGUUUCAAUUCGCAGUUUAAAAUUUUCAACAAACUGAAAAAAAAACACUUACAAAGAAAUACCUACCUACCGCUUUCCUUUAUCAGUUUAGCUUGUAAUACUUACUUUUUCAAACUUUUGUUUGAGCCUCAAAAACGUUGUAAGGUUUUUAUUUUAAUGUUUAAAAAAUGAGGAGAAUUCAAAAGUCUGGAAAAAAAUACGAAAAAACUCUUUGAAAAAUAAUUAGAUAAAACCAAAAUACGUAUCUUUUAAAAUGUUGAUUUUACCAAAGUUGAUGGCCUGAAAAAUGGUCUUCGUCUUACCUAUUUUAAUAAUAAUUAAUUUUUGUAUAAGUACUAGUUCUUUUUUUCGUUUUAUUUGAUUUCCUCCGACGAUUCUUGAAAAUCGAUUGGUGGAAAUUCAUACUCGAGAAACGUGUACCUAUUUCUUCAUGUUUGGGCAAAAACUUGCGCAGACAACUCGAGUAGGUAAUAAUUGACCACAUGAGCUGACAUUUUUACAAGUUAAUAGGUCCUCAAUAAAGGUUAUUAAAAUCAUUAAGAAGUCAUCAUUUUGGCUGUUUUGGCCUAAAUUUGAACGAAUUGCUUCCAUCCCGCGCUUCCUUUUUUGAAAAAGGCAGCGAAAAAUUGAAAAUUUUGAGUCAUGGACAUGGCCAUUCCUUUAUUUCGUUUUCGAUUUUGAAAAAAAGUCCAGUUUGAAAGUACGAGUACUUACAAAAAAAUACUUACCUAAUGUUGAAAACCAAACAUAAGAAGGCGAAAAUUAAUUCUGAUAAUCUAAAGCGAUCAACUGUUUGAAAAUAAUGAUAUUUCGAAGAUAUCACUCGGAUUAUUGAAAAUUGCGAAAAGUUGAUCAAAUAUUUACAAAAAUUGAGCGAUAAUUUUUCAAAAUGCAAAAAACGUAUAGUACCUAUGUAAAAAUUGCAAAAUGAACCUCCCAGUUAUUGAAUGUUACCAAAAAUGGAUAAAAAAUCUUUAUAAUUUAGCAGAAUUCUGCGAAAAUUGUUUGAAAAGUCGAAAUAAUGUCAUCAUAAGUACAUAGUUCGAAUUAUGAAAACUUGGCAAAAUAUAGCCAAAAUGGUUUGUUUAAAAAAAAAAAAAUUGAGAAAAUUACAAAAAAUAAUUAAUUAAAUACGAGUAGGUAUUAUCAAAAUGAUAUGAAAUUGCGAAAAAAUCACUCAAAAUUCUACCAUUUUCGGGGUAGAUUACGGUAAAAAUACGAUUCAAAUUCAAAACAUCUUCCCCCCCUUGAAUAAUACAUCUUAAAAUUUACCUCUUCUUCUUGUAGCCACGACCGUCUCGAUCUUCGGCAUCAUCCAUUGGCGCUUUCCCCUCCUUAGCCCCCUGAAGUCGCCUUCCAGACGAUUUCUCUGUACAUAUCUCUAUCUGCCGUUGAGUGAAAGAGGGUUUCCACGCCGAGUCCUGUCCAAUUCCUGAGAUUUCUCAGCCACGACAUUCUCUUCCUUCCUCAACCAUGUUUCCCUUCUAUCUUCCCCAUCAUAAUUGUCUGUAGUAACUCGUACCUUUCGCCCCUCAUUGCAUGGCCGAAAUAACAGAGCUUCCGCUUCUUCACAGAAUUGACCAGCUCCAGUUCUUUCCCGGUCAUUUGCAUCACCUCCUCAUUCCUCUUCUUCGCUGUCCAUGGUAUCUUCAGAAUGCGCCGGUAGCACCACAUUUCAAAUGCAUCAAGCUUACUUAUGGUAUCUCCCUUCAGGGUCCAGGUUUCGCAUCCGUACAUCAGAACAGACCAUACAUAGCAUUUUGUUGCUCUGACACGGGUUUUUAUUGACAGAUUGUUUGCAGUCAGUGUCUUUUUCAUCCUUAUGAAAGCAGCUCUUGCCUGUUCGAUUCUGCUCCUUAUUUCUUCAUUAGGAUUUGCAUCAUCGUUCACCCAGGCGCCUAGGUAUUUGUAAUGUUUCACCUGGUCUAGAAUAUCGCCUCCAGUCAUUAUCUCUAUUUUAUCAGAUUCUUCACCGCCUACUCUCAUGACUUUGGUCUUUUUUGUAUUUAUUCGAAUUCCAUAGUCCUUACAGGCUCUCUCCACAGCAUGUAUCAGCUCCUCCAGUUCCUCCUCACUUUCAGCAAUAAGUGCCGUAUCAUCCGCAUAUCUGAUGUUGUUUAUUAAUUCGCCACCAAUUUUUACUCCUUCAGUUCAACCUUCUAGAGCCUUUCUAAAUGCCUGAUCUGCGUAUACGUUGUACAGAAUGGGAGACAAUAUACACCCCUGUCGAACUCCACACUCUAUUUCCAUUGGAUCCGUCUGUUUCCCAUUUUCCAAUAGGACUGUGGCCUUUUGUUGACGAUAAAGGUUUUCGAUUAUACAGGGUGGACAGAAAUAUCGGGUACCCCUAAAAAAGUUUUCUGUUAAAUACUUCGGUUGGUCACAGUGAAUGAUAGUAAUGGUAGCACAUGAUUGGUUGUUAGACUGGAGAGAUAACAUUUCACCAAUCAUAUGCAUCUAUUUCACAUUGCCAACCUAUAUUUUCAAUGAAAAACUUUCUUAGGGGUACCCGAUAUUUCUGUCCACCCUGUACGUAUGUCUGCCAGAUCUAGCCCUAUCAACCGUAUUAUCUCAAAAAGUCUUUCAUGUUGCACCUUGUCAAACGCUUUUUCAAAGUCCAAAAAGCAUAUAUACAUUGGUUGACGAAACUCCCGCAUUUUUUGCAUUGAAACAUUGAUGCAAAACAGCGCUUCUUGCGUGCCCAGACCACUUCUGAAACCAAACUGUUCUCUGCUGAUAUUUUCUUCGCAUUUUCUUUGUAUUCUGCUAUGGAUAAUUCUCAGAAAUACUUUGAGGGUAUGACUCAUCAGACUGAUUAGUCUGUAAUCGCUGCAGGAUUUGGGAUGGUGGUUUUUAGGUAGAGGUAUAAAUGUCGACAUCAGCCAUUCAUCUGGGAUUUCUCCGGGUGUGUAGAUUUUAUUGAAUAAUUUGGUAAGUAUUUUGAGUCCAUCUCUGUCAAGUGUUCUGAGCAGCUCUGAUGUUACUUCAUACCACACAGACAAAAAAACGUAUUACAAAAGAAAAUAAAAAAAUAAUAUGAAAAACCGAAGAUAAGAAGGCGGAAAUGAAUUCUGACCAACUGUCUGAAAAGAGUGAUAAUUAUUUCGAUGAAAUCACUCGGAUUAUUGAAAAUUGCGAAAAGUUGAUCAAAUAUUCUCAAAAAUUGAACGAUAAUUUUUCAAAAUGCAAAAAAUAUUGCAAAAUGAACCUCUCAGUUAUUGAAUGUUACCAAAAAUGGAUAUAAAAUCGGUACAAUUUAGCAGAAUUUUGCAAAAAUUGUUUGAAAAGUUGGAAUAAUGUCAUAAGUAGUUCGAAUAUGAAAACUCAACACGAAUUAAAUAUCGCCAAAAUGCUUUGGUUUAAAAAAAAAAUAUGAGAAAAUUACGAAAAAUAAUUACCUAUAAUUAAAUACCUACGAGUAUUAUCAAAAUGAUAUGAAAUUGCAUUUCCACCGAAUAAUAAAUAUACUUAAUUCCGUUGAAAUGAAACAUUUUCAGCAAAAAUAAAGUUAUUAUAAAGAACAAGUGAACAAAAUAAACGUUUACAAUCAUGUAGAAAUAUGCAGCUAAUCAGUAGUACUAGUACCCAACUAGCCACUGUUGCUGUCGUACAUAGACAAGUCAUUUAAUGUGUAAGCGGAAAGGUUGUAGUCUUUUUGUCUUCAUUUCUGAGUAUUCAGUGUCAAUAGAAAAUGAUAAGAUAAGGAUUCAUGCUUAUCUCUCCAGUCUUUACCCAACACGUGUCAUGGGAGCCAAGGCCAGAUGGAGAACUAAUUUUUGGGUCGUGUUAUUUUUGUUUCGAAUUGCUCUAUGGAGUUUCAUCAAGUUUUCCAGGUAUCAAACUUCAUUUAUGGUGGUCCCUUUUGGAAAAAUUCGAUCGGAGACUUGCUCAAAGGGUAAAAAACUCGAUCACACCCCUCAGCUUCAUGUUGGACGGAGGUUCGCCCAUUGUUGUCAUGAUUAUGCACCUAUGAAACACGCAAAAUGCAACCGAUUCCAACGAAACUUUCACCAAAUACUAACCUCAGUAUCACUGAUCCGUGGUAAAAAUUUCAGCGCGAUCAGUGCAAACCAACCCCGAAAAACGAGCAUGUGAAACUUACUUAUUGAGUGGCCACUCAGCACUCUAGAAAACCUGUUAAACGAUAUGCCAUUUUUGAUAAUUCAACUUUGCCUUUGGGCCCUUUUUUCCAAUUUGCCCCCUGGGCCUAAAUCCUUAAAUCCGCCACUGGCAAUAAGUAUGACGAUUACCGUUGAAUUUUGAUUUUGAUUAUCUUGAAGGUUACCGCGGAGUUGUGAAUGUUGCGAUGAGGAGGACGUCGAGGGUGGUAGUUACAGUACCUGUAACCACUUAAUUACGUUAGGUACGUUAAUUUUCAUUCUCUAACUAAAACUAUAAUUUUCGGGGCAAAAAACGGUAAAAAUAUGAUUCAAAUUCAAAACAUCCCCCCCCCCCUCCUUGAAUAAUACAUCUUAAAAUUUACCACGCUGCCAAAAAAACGUAUUACAAAAGAAAACAAAAAAAAUAAUAUGAAAAACCAAACAUAAGAAGGCAAUGAAUUCUGACCAACUGUAAAAGAGUGAUAACUAUAGGUAUUUCGAAAAAAUCACUCGAAUCAUUGAAAGUUGCGAAGUGUUGAUCACGAAGUCAGCAAAAAUAAUUAAAAAUUGCUCUAAAAUAGGCGCAAAAACUGUGAGACAGUUUUCAAAUGUGAAAUGUGAGCUUCCUACCAAAUUUGGGGCAAUUGGGUAUUUUGCUUUUUCGUAAUUUACAAAAAAUUGAAAAAAUUGACCCCUCAUUUACGAAAUAGUUUUGAGGGGCAGGAGGGCAUACUACACAUUAAAGUGAUAUUCAUAGGAGUCCCAUUCAACAAAUUGAAAGCAUUUUUUCAGAUUUCCAGAGUGAAUGAUACAUAGAAAUCAUAGAAUUAUUUGCUGAAAGAAAGCUUUUAUUUGAGAUGACAAAAUUUAAAUUUAAAUUAUGUUAAUUUUUACAAGAUACUUAGAAAUAAAAACUUACUUACUAAUUGUAAGAAUUAAUGUAUAAUUUGUAAAGUCCAAAAAUAAUGCUGAAUCAUAAUACGAGUAUCAGAAUUGUUACUAUUCCCUCCAUUUGUGUUGGGGCGGCGGUAAAUUGUUUUGUGGCAAUUGCAUGUGCAUUUUUUCGUGCAAGCCUUAUCCGGCAUUUUGCAGAUAUUCUGAAAUUUUCAAAUAAAUUUUCAAGUUGAAAUUCAGCCGGGGGCUGAGGGGUCCGGAGGGGCUGUGCGAGUGUAGCAGAAAAUCUGAUGUCAUAUUCAUGCUCAGCAGUAUCGAAUCGUAAGAAAGCGACACGAAAAUCAUCAAAGUAAGUUUAUUUUAAAAAUUCUUAAAAAUUGAGGGGUCCGGAGGGGCUGUGUGGGUGUAAAACAAAAUCUGACGUCAUAUUCGUGCUCAGCGAUAUCGAAUCAUAAGAAAACGACACCCUACUCAUUGAUAUUCAUCUUUCAUAAAAUUCCAAAAUCACCCCCGCCCCCCUUAAGACACUUUUUUUCAACUUUUCAGCAUGGCGCACCAAAGCAAAAAUUUCGAAAGAAGUACAUGAUGUUUGGGGGCCAAAAAUACAUCCAAAAAACGUGUUUCCAAAAUUGUACCUCGCAAUCUUGAUUGUUAAUACGCAUAAAAAAUUAAAAAAACACCAUUUUUAGGGGUAAAUAUGAAGGGGGGUAGAAAAUUUUUGUGGGGAUACCUACUAAGGAUAUACAUAACUUCCAGAAAAAUUUUCAAAAUCGGUUAAAAUGGAACUGAGAAAAGUGUUAUUGAAAUUUCAGAAAAGGGUGGUCCCCAAAAAGGGGAGGGGGUGUGGAUCUGAAAUUUUUCACGCGCAAUUUCACCCCCCCCCCCCCCCCCGUAGGCGCCUAUAUCCUUUAUGUAUUUUUCAGGAAACCCUCCUUUUUUGAAUGGCUGUGGUUCCACCCUCCUUGAACAUACAAGGAAAGUUGAUACAUCAUUAGAUCGGAAAUUGGACGUAGAUUUUUUUGGCUAAAAUGCAAUGCGGCGGAGAAAAUCGCGAAAAACUUAUUUUGGGGGCACAAAUGUGGGUCUGGGGGGCGAAGCACCACGCGGAUUUAGGGUGGGUUUUAGUACGUCAUUUAGGACACCAUCCUGAGCAUUUUGACGCAAGAAAAAUUUCCCCUAAUUUAUUCCAGGUGAAAUCCCUAUUUGACUGUAUUAACAAUAGGUACUCUUUCUGUGUUAAUUUUAUGGUUUUAUUUUUGCUGUCAAGAAAUAAAAUUUUUAUAAGAUACUUAGAAAUAAAAACUUACUUACUAAGUAGAUAUUAAUUCUUGCAAGGCUUAGACAUUCUGAAAUUUUUAAAUUAUAUUUAAAAUUUUUAAUGUACAUUGUACUUGAAGCAUAAUUAUUUCCAUACUCUGUAUGCAACUGCUCACUGUCACUAUGUGUAAUUUUCACGUAUUUUUCGAUAUUUCGUGAGGAUGCGUUUCUAUUUUUCACCAAUGGUGCGUUGCUUACGCAUACGUGUUGUAAACUUGUAAAAUUUUUCUACACGAGUACUUAUGGCAAAAUACUUCUUUUUAUUUUUUGGGAGAAAAUAAUAUAUUUUCGUGAAAAUUUCGUAAUAACGUUUUUUAUAGAAAAUGAAAUCCUUCAUCGAUCGGUAUAAAAAUUGUUUCAUUUUCUUGCUGUUAUAACGAUUUCAUCGAGUAUUUUCAUUCGAGAAUCAAAUUUCACGUAAAUCAACUUCAAAUCAAAAUUACUUGUAAUUUUCAUAAAAUCGGGCACAUGAGUGUUUCGAGCAACCAAAAUGUUCGAAAUUUUAUCCUUUUUUUUUUCUUUAAUUUGGCGUUUUAUUCGAAAUUCUAGCUGUUGCUGUUCGGAAGUUACAGAAGUUCAAAGUUGUAAAAUACAAGCUACAGCAAUCAGCAAUGUUCAUUUUGUUAUCACAAUUCACAUCACAAGAAUGAAGGUAAACAGAAACGGGAUUGUCUAACGACAUGCAAAUCGCUCACUUUUCACAACUUUAAACUUCUGUAACUUUCGAACCGCAACAGCUAGAAUUUUGAAUAAAACCCCGAAUUAAAGAGAAUAAAAUUUCAAACAUUUUGGUUGCUUGAAACACCCACGUGCCCGCUGAAAAUUAUAAGUAAUUUUUGAUCUGAAGUUUACUUAAUACUUAAAAUUCACGAACGAAAAUACUCGAUAAAAUCGUUAUGACAGCAAGAAAAUGAAGCAAUUUUUAUACCGAUCGAUGAAGGAUUUCAUUUUCUAUAAAAAAACGUUAUUACGAAAUUUACACGAAAAUACAUUAUUUUCUCUCAAAAAAUAAAAAAAAGUAUUUCGCCAUAAGAACUCACCUAGAAAAAUUUUACAAAUUUGCAACACGUAGGUAUGCGCGAGCGACGCACCAUUAAUGAAAAACAGAAACGCAUCCGCACGAAAUAUCGAAAAAUCGGUGAAAAUUUGACGUACUUUUGAGCCGAAUCUGCAGGGGACACCUCAACAGUGGAUUUUUGACCACCUUUUCUCACAAUGAAAAUAUCCAAAAAAUCAAAAUUUUCAAAAUUUCUUACUAAAAUUCAAAAAAGGUUCAAAGACCUUUCUAUCAUGGUAUCGUUGAUAGACAUAAAUAGGUAUAGAACGAAUGACCGCGUCAAAACAAUACAAACAAAAUAGCUAUCGACUGAACAUACUUACCUACAAUAGACGUCAAAUUUGACAAAUCAAAUGAAAUGGAUCUGCAGGGAUAGAAAAUAUGGUGGUCAUUUAACACUAUUAUUUUAUUAUAAGAAAUAUAAAAACAUCUAUACCUACUCUUACGAGCUAACUAAGAACACGAGUGAUAGAAUUGACAAGAGGAGUGUGACACCCUCCCGUCGGUCUUUACACACUCCUGCAAAGAAUAGUGGCGGGAAUCAACGGGUUUCGCACGUUAUCGAACGACAGUGAUAUUCAGAUUCAUUCUACAGUCUCGUAGACACAUUUAGACAUUAUCUUCCAUCGUGCGAUAUAAGCCUUAAAAAAUUGCUGAAACCUUCUCAUUUCCUAUUUUUCGUCGAAAAAUUAAAUUUGGUUGGUAUAACAAUUGAAUAAAAAUUGAAACAAAUUUUUAAAAAUUUCACAGCCGUUACCAUUAAUUUUUCGAUUUAGUAAACUCUAUAAAACUUACAAUUAGGAAUUGACUUUUUGACUGUUUUUUUCUCGCGCUAAACUUUCUCUUUGCUCAGGUCUCUUUAUUUAUGUGUAGGUACUAGGUAGCUUUUUAAAAUCAUCAAAAAUAUUGUAACGCCUUCUGGGCGAAAAAUGGAUAAAGUAAAUAAGAAAAUAAUAAUAUGUUAAUAAUACGAUAAACAAAUUUAAUAUAAAAUCUACUACUAUUGUAUUUGAUUUGCACCUGCCUAUUCUUAAUUUUAUUCGUAAGUACUUUGUUAUAUUUAUUUUUGAAUGAAUGAAUGAAUAAAUAAAUUACUUUUCUUA